rnacentral:snRNA from 1 species
GGAUGUGAGGGUGAUCUGGUCACCCCAUUGAUCUCUGAGGAUGAUUCAGCUGAUCUGGCUGACUAUGUGGGUGUCUCUUUCCUCCCUCAUCAUUCCAUGUGUGUCCCUCUCAAAGCUGCACACUUGGUUGAAGAGGACAGCCAUCCCUGAUAGAGGAGGACUGGUCUUCAGUCAAGGGUAUCUAGUGGAACAGAUCAUUUUGAUUCUGAUGCUUUUAAUGGGAAACUUUCA